rnacentral:rRNA from 1 species
UAUUGCACAAUGGGGGAAACCCUGAUGCAGCAACGCCGCGUGGAGGAUGACACAUUUCGGUGCGUAAACUCCUUUUAUAUAAGAAGAUAAUGACGGUAUUAUAUGAAUAAGCACCGGCUAACUCCGUGCCAGCAGCCGCGGUAAUACGGAGGGUGCAAGCGUUACUCGGAAUCACUGGGCGUAAAGAGCGUGUAGGCGGAUAGAUAAGUCAGAAGUGAAAUCCAAUAGCUUAACUAUUGAACUGCUUUUGAAACUGUCUAUCUAGAGUAUGGGAGAGGUAGAUGGAAUUUCUGGUGUAGGGGUAAAAUCCGUAGAGAUCAGAAGGAAUACCGAUUGCGAAGGCGAUCUACUGAACAUAACUGACGCGAGACGCGAAA